UCCCAGCACUUUGGGAGGCUAAGGCAGGUGGAUCACCUGAGGUCAGGAGUUCAAGACCAGCCUGGCCAACAUGGUGAAAUCCCAUCUCUACUAAAAAUACAAAAUUUAGCCAUGCAUGGUGGCACGUGCCUGUAAUACCAGCUACUCAGGAGGCUAAAGCAGGAAAAUCACUUGAACCCGGGAGACGGAGGUUGGAGUGAUCUGAGAUCACACCACUGCGCUUCAGCCUGAGAAACAAGAGUGAAACUCCAUCUAAAAAAAUAAAAUAAAAUAAAAAAAUUACAAGUGUUACUAUCACCACCAGUCUCACCAGCAAAAUGUUCAGGUAUUGGGGGGCUGUCAAACUCCCUGUGGCAAACACAUGAUUUUCAAAAUUCUUUCAUUUGAAAUCCUGAAAUGUAUCAUUGAUCAUAAAAGUCUCUGUUUAUUUUCAUGAAAUAAUAGACUCGCUUCAUUGAUGUUUCUAAAUGUCUGCCAAAUAUCUAAUUUUGAAUAAAUGUAGUUUGUCAGUCAUUAUUCAAGUAAAAACAGUGUUCCAUUAAAAUGUGCCAAUUCAGCUCAAAACUCAAACUAGUGCAUAGGUGCUUUUCUUGGAGAAAAUCAUCCUACUUUGUAUGCAGUGGGAGUGCUUUGCGUAUUCUUCCCAUUGUGUCACACAGAAUAUUAAAAAGACAUGUAUUCAAGGGUCAAAUUUUAAUUGAUAAUUUUCACUGCCUCAUCAAGUACAUUUUUUAAAGAACACUAACCUUUUUUUUUUUUCUCUUGUAGGCACAAAUGUAGAAUCUAGUGUAGUGAAGAAUAUAAUGGGUAAUAGUCACUCUGUUUGAUGCCACCGCCUUUACCCACAAUGUACUAUCAUGGGUGCAAAUGUCAACAAAGUUAAAAAGAAAAAUGCCAUUUUAAUAUUAUUUUGAAACUAGUUUGCCCUCACCAGGACCCUGGAAGGUUUUCAGGGACUUAAAGGUGUCCAUGGACCAUACUUUGAAUGCCACCAUUAUAUUGUAUUAAACCAAAAGAGGUUGCAUGCUACUUCAGCAUAACUACAUAUCCCAAUUAAGGUAAAUAAGCAGCAUUUUUACCAACCACAAGACAGAAAGUACUUUUAGUUAAAAGCCAACACUUGCAAAGGCAAAACUGAAGAAAAAUUUACAACAUUUUUGGGCAACAAAAGUUAUAUCUGGGUGACUGGAGUUUAGGGUGCAUGAGAAUGGGAAUCAAGUUGAGAAUACUCUUAAAAGAUACAGCAGAAACAGACUUCAAAGGAUCUAGAAUUCUAUGACAAGUAGUUAGUACUUUAUUUUGUGAGCAAAGGAAAAAUAAGAAUAAAGAGUGUGGCGGCUCACGCCUGUAAUCCCAGCACUUUGGGAGCCUGAGGCAGGUGGAUCACCUGAGGUCAGGGGUUCAAGACCAGCCUGACGAAUAUGGUGAAACUCCGUCUCUACUAAAAAUACAAAAAUUAGCCAGCCAUAGUGGCGUGUGACUGUAGUCCCAGCUACUUAGGAGGCUGAAGCUUGAUCCUAGAGGUGGAGGUUGCAGUGAGCCGAGAU
ensembl:lncRNA